rnacentral:rRNA from 1 species
ACGGUACAACGAGUCGCAAGACCGCGAGGUUUAGCAAAUCUCUUAAAGCCGUUCUCAGUUCGGAUUGUAGGCUGCAACUCGCCUACAUGAAGUCGGAAUCGCUAGUAAUCGCGGAUCAGCAUGCCGCGGUGAAUACGUUCCCGGGCCUUGUACACACCGCCCGUCACACCAUGAGAGUUUGUAACACCCAAAGCCGGUGGGGUAACCUUUUGGGGCCAGCCGUCUAAGGUGGGAUCAAUGAUUGGGGUGAAGUCGUAACAAGGUACC